AGUUCGAUUCUGGCUCAGAUUGAACACUGGCGGGAUGCUUUACACAUGCAAGUCGAACGGCAGCACGGACUUCGGUCUGGUGGCGAGUGGCGAACGGGUGAGUAAUGUAUCGGAACGUGCCCUAGUAGUGGGGGAUAACUACGCGAAAGCGUAGCUAAUACCGCAUACGCCCUUCGGGGGAAAGCGGGGACCUUCGGGCCUCGCAAAUUAUUAGAGCGGCCGAUAUCGGAUUAGCUAGUUGGUGGGGUAACGGCUCACCAAGGCGACGAUCCGUAGCUGAUUUGAGAGGACGACCAGCCACACUGGGACUGAGACACGGCCCAGACUCCUACGGGAGAGGCAGCAGUGGGGAAUUUUGGACAAUGGGGAAACCUGAUCCAGCCAUCCGGGCGUGUGCGAUGAAGGCCUUCGGGUUGUAAAGCACUUUUGGCAGGAAAGAAACGGCACGGGAUAAUACCCCGUACAACUGACGGUACCUGCAGAAUAAGCACCGGCUAACUACGCCAGCAGCCGCGGUAAUACGUAGGGUGCGUUAACGGAAUUACUGGGCGGAAGCGUGCGCAGGCGGUUCGGAAGGAAAGAUGUGAAAUCCCAGAAGCCAACUUUGGAACUGCAUUUUUAACUACCGAGCUAGAGUGUGUCAGAGGGAGGUGGAAUUCCGCGUAGUGCAGUGAAAUGCGUAGAUAUGCGGAGGAACACCGAUGGCGAAGGCAGCCUCCUGGGAUAACACUGACGCUCAUGCACGAAAGCGUGGGGAGCAAAAAAGGAUUAGUACCCUGGUAGUCCACGCCCUAAACGUAGAUGUCAACUAGCUGUUGGGGCCUGGCCUUGGUAGCGCAGCUAACGCGUGAAGUUGACCGCCUGGGGAGUACGGUCGCAAGAUUAAAACUCAAAGGAAUUGACGGGACCCGCACAAGGGUGGAUGAUGUGGAUUAAUUGAUGCAAUCGCGAAAAACUCCACUUACCCUUGACAUGUCUGAAUCCCGAAGAGAUUUGGGGAGUGCUCGCAAGAGAACCGGAACACAGUGCCAGGCAUGGCUGCCGUCAGCUCGUGUCGUGAGAUGUUGGUUAAGUCCGGCAACGAGCGCAACCCUUGGGUUUCUGCCAGUUGCUACGAAAGGGCACUCUAAUGAGACUGCCGGUGAUAAACCGAGGAAGGUGGGGAUGACGUCAAGUCCUCAUGGCCCCCAGGUAAGCCACACGUCAUACAAUGGUCGGGACAGAGGUCGCCAACCCGCGAGGGGAGCCAAUCCCAGAAACCCGAUCGUAGUCCGGAUCGCAGUCUGCAACUCGACUGCGUGAAGUCGGAAUCGCUAGUAAUCGCGGAUCAGCAUGUCGCGGUGAAUACGUUCCCGGGUCUUGCACACACCGCCCGUCACACCAUGGGAGUGGGUUUUACCAGAAGUAGUUAGCCUAACCGUAAGGAGGGCGAUUACCACGGUAGGAUUCAUGACUGUGAAGUCGUAACAAGGUAG
rnacentral:rRNA from 1 species